AACCUAAAAGACAAAACGGUCUAGAGUCACCUUUUCCCCGCAAAUAACAGAGGAUUAAGAAUCUGAAAUCUUCAAGCCUCCAGGACCACGGUGCAAGCACUCAGCAAAAAUUUCUGCUGGAGGCCGGAGCGCCUUUUGAUUUCGGGAGACUGGCCCAGGAACUCUAGUCACUUGGAAGGCAGAAGAGAAGGUGGUACCUGAGCCAGGUAGGAGCCACUCAGAGGCAGCCCGGGGCCGCCACUCACCUAGGAGAGGAGGUGGAGUCCGAUGACCCGGACUGAGAGGAAACGCGAGACUGAGUCUACCAGCGCCUCCCCGCCUGGCAGCCGCUGCUGUCGGCCAGCAUCGCGCUGCCGCUCUUCUUCUGCGCGGGCCUGGCCUUCAUCGGCCUGGGCCUGGGCCUCUACUACUCCUCCAACGGCAUCAAGGAGCUGGAGUACGACUAUACAGGCGACCCGGGCACCGGCAACUGCUCGGUGUGCGCCGCGGCUGGCCAGGGCCGGGCGCUGCCGCCCCCCUGCUCGUGCGCCUGGUACUUCUCGCUGCCCGAGCUCUUCCAGGGCCCCGUGUACCUCUACUACGAGCUGACC
rnacentral:sRNA from 1 species